rnacentral:rRNA from 1 species
GCCGCGUGAGUGAAGAAGGCCUUCGGGUUGUAAAGCUCUUUUGUCAGGGAAGAAACGGGUGAGGUUAAUACCUUUGCCUAAUGACGGUACCUGAAGAAUAAGCACCGGCUAACUACGUGCCAGCAGCCGCGGUAAUACGUAGGGUGCAAGCGUUAAUCGGAAUUACUGGGCGUAAAGCGUGCGCAGGCGGUUAUACAAGACAGAUGUGAAAUCCCCGGGCUCAACCUGGGAAUUGCAUUUGUGACUGUAUGGCUAGAGUGUGUCAGAGGGGGGUAGAAUUCCACGUGUAGCAGUGAAAUGCGUAGAUAUGUGGAGGAAUACCGAUGGCGAAGGCAGCCCCCUGGGAUAACACUGACGCUCAUGCACGAAAGCGUGGGGAGCAAACAGGAUUAGAUACCCUGGUAGUCCACGCCCUAAACGAUGUCUACUAGUUGUCGGGUCUUAAUUGACUUGGUAACGCAGCUAACGCGUGAAGUAGACCGCCUGGGGAGUACGGUCGCAAGAUUAAAACUCAAAGGAAUUGACGG